GACGAACGCUGGCGGCGUGCCUAAUACAUGCAAGUAGAACGCACAGUUUAUACCGUAGCUUGCUACACCAUAGACUGUGAGUUGCGAACGGGUGAGUAACGCGUAGGUAACCUGCCUGGUAGCGGGGGAUAACUAUUGGAAACGAUAGCUAAUACCGCAUAAUAUUGAUUAUUGCAUGAUAAUUGAUUGAAAGAUGCUAUUGCAUCACUACCAGAUGGACCUGCGUUGUAUUAGCUAGUAGGUGAGGUAACGGCUCACCUAGGCGACGAUACAUAGCCGACCGGAGAGGGUGAUCGGCCACACUGGGACUGAGACACGGCCCAGACUCCUACGGGAGGCAGCAGUAGGGAAUCUUCGGCAAUGGACGAAAGUCUGACCGAGCAACGCCGCGUGAGUGAAGAAGGUUUUCGGAUCGUAAAGCUCUGUUGUAAGAGAAGAACGGGUGUGAGAGUGGAAAGUUCACACUGUGACGGUAUCUUACCAGAAAGGGACGGCUAACUACGUG
rnacentral:rRNA from 1 species